UCCGGUAUCAAUGCGGGUCAGGGAAAGAGCGAGCGGCAGGCUCCACACAGGAUCCGCCCCUUCGGGAUAGGCCACGCCCCGAGCGCGCCGGAUAUCCGCCUCUCCACUCCGCGCGCGGGCCCGGCCACCAGAGAAAGACCCCGCCCACCAGCCGCGCGCACUUUUUUUCAAACCCAGCUAGAGCUGUCAUUGGUCAGUCCGCUAACAGGGCGGGGCUAUCAUGGCCGCGGCCCCACCCUCCGUCCUGUCAUUGGGCGCUCAGGAUGCGAAUUCGAAUCAGGGCGGUUUGUGGUUCGCGCUUGUAGCUCUCAGGGACACCGUCCGACCGGAACUUCUAACUCGCCUGCCGCGGCGUUACCCAGCGCGACGCCGCGCCCUAUGCUGCCCGCAGCAGUGACCCGUAUGUUCGGGUUUGCAAGAGCUGCUCUCUGGUGUAAUUUGCUACCAGGAGCAGCCCAGCCGCGCCCCUCCCCGUGCAGCGUAUGGGAGAAGUGAGAGCGAAGAAGGUGAUUUGUCUUUGGUUUUACAGCAAGUCUGGCAGUGCUAGAACCAGAACACAGCUCCACUGACCUUGCCAGUCCAUGCUUCAAUCAGCAGACUAGGGGUUUCCAAACUUGUACAAAAUGAGUCUCUCCUGCUCCACUCCACCCUUCUCUGCUGGGCCCUUCCACAGAGGCGCCACUGUUGCUCCUGGACCACCCCACGCUUCCUGCACCGGCGGCUCCACUCCUACCGGACCCAUCUUCUGAUUCUGAGUGGUCUUGCGAACCGGACCCCGCCUUUUCACCUACAUGGUCCUACAGCCCGGACCCAUACCCUCCAGUGUAUGCCCCAUUGGCCGACCCGUGGUUCCACUACCUGCGGGUGCCGCUGAUGCCUGGCGACCCCUAUGCCUGGCCCUACUGGGUCGCCUGGAACCCCUACCAUGAGUGCAAGAUGCCAUCUUGCUUGCAGCACUGCCUGUCCCCAACAUAUACGGCCCCUCCCCUCUAUGAGGAACCUCUGGCCAUCCCCGUUCCGGUGGCACCAACAGCACCUUUGCCACCUCCGGUCCAUAUGGCUGCCUUCUCAUCUCCAGGCAUUGCCAUCAUUCCUCCCACCACCCUCCCUUGCCGACUGCUUGCAGUACCAGGACUUCAACGCAUGGCCACAGCCCUCACUCUGCCUGUUGAAGACGUCCAGGACCCACAGGAUUAAUUCCUGGACAUCCUACAACCCCUUGUACGCUCAUGUACCGCCCUUCGUAUCCACAAUGCUCUUCUACAACUGACCCAGACCAUUUGGC